AUACGGAGGGUGCAAGCGUUAAUCGGAAUUACUGGGCGUAAAGCGCUCGUAGGCGGCUUGUAAAGUCGGAUGUGAAAGCCCUGGGCUCAACCUGGGAACUGCAUUCGAUACUGGCAAGCUAGAGUAUAGUAGAGGCAAGUGGAAUUCCGGGUGUAGCGGUGAAAUGCGUAGAUAUCCGGAGGAACAUCAGUGGCGAAGGCGACUUGCUGGACUAAUACUGACGCUGAGGAGCGAAAGCGUGGGGAGCAAACGGGAUUAGAAACCCCUGUAGUCC
rnacentral:rRNA from 1 species